AUGCGGCAGGAAGGCCUGCUCACAGAGAUGAAAGCCCCUUUGCCAGGCGAGGAGACUCAGCCGAACACGGUGCUGAUCAGCAAACACCAUUUAUUACCUCUGCUGCUCCUGGAGCUCCGUUCUCCGAGACAGAUAAUGCCCCUUAUCUCAGCCUGGAGAGCCGGGUGGGGGAAGGCCCAGAAAGCUGAUCCCUGCUUGGGUGAUAAGGAUUUGCCAGCGCCAGCCCCCGCAGCCUUGAGCAAACACAGCGCCAGGGGCACGCAUGGCAUUUGCAUAGGGAAUUUUACAAAGUGCGGCUGGGGGAGGCUCUGUGGAGCCCCCGGCAGAGGACGCAGAGGACGCAGAGGACACACGCUGUGGACGCCUCGUGGUCCAGGCCUCGCCUCCGCCUCUGCCUCCGCAAGCGACCUUGAGCAAGUCAGGUGACAUCCCCGGGCCUCCUUCACCCCAUCUGCUCAACGGGGGCACGGCCCAGACUAGGGGCUUUCAAAGUGCCUUCCUUGGGCCCCCAAAGUUCCCUGGAGGGGCUGUAGGGGCAUCACUGAUGGGGAGGGAGCGAGGGGGGUCCUGGCCCUGAUCCCCAGCGGCAUCCAGACUGCACACUUUGACCUGCUCCAUGUGUGAUGUCAUUUCAACAAUGGGUUUCACCACUUCCCAGGAAGCAGUGGAAAGCCUAGACUAGAGGAGCCGUGAAGCCCCUUCUAGGAGACUAAGGGGGUGAGGCUGGGGGACAGGGAGGUGGGAUGGAGGGCUGCAGGAUGGGGAGGGGGGCAGGAUUCAGAGAGAAUGUGGCCCCACCUGGCACAGCUUCUCAUACCAACCCACUUCACCUCCUUCCACCCCAGUGCCUCCCCUGUGGCUUCUUCCUUUGAAAAAUCCAUUACCUGCCCCCCCAGGUGGUCUGGCCCAGCAACAGGGAGUAUGGGGGUGGGAAGAGGGGGGAGGGUGCUAACCCAGAAAGCUGAGCUGCAGGGGCAAGGAGCAUGAGGCAGCCGGUGGAUGGGUACAGCAGGAACGAGGUCCGGCUACCAACCGGGUCCCCCCUCUUCCCAGCCGGCGAUCUGGGGCAAACCUCCACCUCUCUGAGCCUGUUUCCUCCCCUGUAAAUAAUGAGGUUGCAUACAGUGCCUCCCCCAUAGAAUUGUGAGAACCAAAUUAGCAAGGAGCUGGAACAGAACAGGUGCACGUGAAGAGAAAUAACAGAAGCUCAGCUAUGGUCUCUGACCCCAGAGCAUUGGCAGAACAGGGUCCCCCUCGGUACCCCUGGGCCUGGUGAGGGGACAGGGGAUGUGGAGGUGGGGCAGGGAUGGCAGUACCGAGCACUCCUUCAGUGUCUCUGCAGGUCCUCCAAAACCCCCCCUCCCCAGCCCCUCUCCAGCCACUGAGACUUCCAGCAGGUUCGUGCAGGAGGACGCUGACCUCCUCCUGUGCCCCUCCUGUGGAGCUGCUGCAGGACUCAGAGGCACGGCCAGAAGUGGGGGGACCUAGCACCCCUGGGAAUAGAGUCCGGGAGAGUAAGCACUCAGUACACCUUGGCUAUUCUUUUUUAGAGGGAGGGGCAGAGGGAGAGAAAAAGAGAAUCUUGAGCAGUCUCCACGCCCAGCAAGGAGCCCAACGCGGGGCUCAGUCUCAUGACCCUGAGACCACGAGCUGAGCCGAAAUCAAGAGUCGGAUGCUCAACUGACUGAGCCACCCAGGCGCCCAGCCCCCAUAUUAGCUGCUAUUUGGGGUUCUAACCAAGGAUUCCUACCCAAGGCUACCUAAGGCCACCAGGGGAGCCAGUAGGAUCAGAAAUGCAAGGGGAGGGGUGGGGCGCCUGGCUGGCUCAGUCGGCAGAGCCUGCAACUCUUGAAAUAAAAAAUAAAUGAAAAAAAAGAAAAAAAGGGAU
rnacentral:lncRNA from 1 species